rnacentral:rRNA from 1 species
CUACGGGAGGCAGCAGUGGGGAAUAUUGCGCAAUGGGCGAAAGCCUGACGCAGCGACGCCGCGUGGGUGAUGAAGGCCUUCGGGUCGUAAAGCCCUGUCAAGAGGGACGAAACCUCGCCGAUUGAAUACAUCGGCGACCUGACGGUACCUCUGAAGGAAGCACCGGCUAACUCCGUGCCAGCAGCCGCGGUAAUACGGAGGGUGCAAGCGUUGUUCGGAAUCACUGGGCGUAAAGCGCGUGUAGGCGGCCUCCUCAGUCUGAUGUGAAAGCCCGGGGCUCACCCCCGGAAGUGCAUUGGAUACUGGGAGGCUGGAGUACCGGAGAGGAGGGUGGAAUUCCUGGUGUAGCGGUGAAAUGCGUAGAUAUCAGGAGGAACACCGGUGGCGAAGGCGGCCCUCUGGACGGAUACUGACGCUGAGACGCGACAGCGUGGGGAGCAAACAGGAUUAGAUACCCUGGUAGUCCACGCCGUAAACGAUGGGCACUAGGUGUUCGGGGUAUUGACCCCCUGAGUGCCGCAGCUAACGCAUUAAGUGCCCCGCCUGGGGACUACGGCCGCAAGGCUAAAACUCAAAGGAAUUGACGG